rfam:Populus trichocarpa scaffold_4_contig_189, whole genome shotgun sequence.
CCCAACACUAUUGGGUUCUGCUGGGUAGCAGGACCCAACGCUAUUAGCUCCUUUUGGAAGUGUUUUGGGUCUGACUUGGCAGCCAGACUUAAUAGCGUUGGGUCCAGCUGCCAAGUUAGACCCAAUAGCUUUUGGUA